rnacentral:rRNA from 1 species
GACUAACGCUGGCGGCGUGCUUAACACAUGCAAGUCGAACGGAAAGGCCUCUUUCGGGGGGUACUCGAGUGGCGAACGGGUGAGUAACACGUGAGUAACCUGCCCUUGACUUUGGGAUAACUUCAGGAAACUGGGGCUAAUACCGGAUAGGAGCUCCUGCUGCAUGGUGGGGGUUGGAAAGUUUCGGCGGUUGGGGAUGGACUCGCGGCUUAUCAGCUUGUUGGUGGGGUAGUGGCUUACCAAGGCUUUGACGGGUAGCCGGCCUGAGAGGGUGACCGGCCACAUUGGGACUGAGAUACGGCCCAGACUCCUACGGGAGGCAGCAGUGGGGAAUAUUGCACAAUGGGUGGAAGCCUGAUGCAGCAACGCCGUGUGCGGGAUGACGGCCUUCGGGUUGUAAACCGCUUUCGCUCAUGACGAAGCUUUGUGUGACGGUAGUGGGUAAAGAAGCACCGGCUAACUACGUG